rnacentral:misc_RNA from 1 species
UUAACUAUUCGUUAUUUGAACUCAGAAUUUCACGAUUAUUCAAGAAUUUAAAGGGGGGGCUACUGACAGGCACUCUCCAGAGGUCCGAACAACCUCCGGCAGUCUGGUUAAAGACAGACCUGCCAAAGCAACAAAGUAGUAUAUACACAGGGUUGGAGAUCGGGCCCAGAAGACCCUAACUCGGUAAUGAUCCUUCCGCAGGUUCACCUACGGAAA